rnacentral:misc_RNA from 1 species
GGCGCACCACCAUCAACAAAUCGUCCUGAGCAUUUUCCAAGACGGGAGUGCCUUCGGCAUCCCUGUUGCCGAGCGCGAACACCGCAUCGACGAGAUCAUGCCGCGCGCCCUGAUCGCGAAGCUGGACUUUCAAGCGGUCGGCGAAGAACGCGAGCAAAUCCUUGCCGUCAUGCGGCUUGGCCGCCUUGGCGAAAGCGGCAAGCAACGGCAACCGGAUUCCGUUAUCGCCCACAAGACGGAUCACACCCAGCGCUGCACGGCGCAGCGCGUACGGGUCCUUCGAUCCCGUCGGCUUCUCNAUGGCCCAGAAACCAGUCAAAAUGUCGAGCUUGUCAGCCAAUGCCACAGCGAUGCUGACCG